AAAUUAAAGUCCUAAUUUAAUUGUGCAUAUCAUCUUGAGUUGUUUGCUUAUGUAAUGUUCUUUAUUAUGUAGAUUAAUGGCUUCUUCACUUUCACUUCACUCCAUUUUGGAUACAAAUAAAUUGACUGGUACCAACUAUGUGGAUUGGUUGAAAAAUCUUAAAAUAGUACUUAGUCAAGAGAAGCUUUCUUACAUCCUCGAUACCCCUGACAUUGAGCCAG
rnacentral:lncRNA from 1 species